rnacentral:pre_miRNA from 1 species
AGGAGGAACAACUACAGUGCCGGCGGCCAGCUCUGGAGCCCUGGACUCAGCUCCCGCAGUAACCACGGAUCUCUCCGUCUGCAGGGCCUGGAGGCUCCGGGGCGGG